AACGAACGCUGGCGGCAUGCCUAACACAUGCAAGUCGAACGAGACCUUCGGGUCUAGUGGCGCACGGGUUCGUAACGCGUUGGAACCUGCCCUUAGGUUCUGAAUAACUCCCCGAAAGGGGUGCUAAUACCGGAUAAUGUCUUCGGACCCAAGAUUUAUCGCCUUUGGAUGGGCCCGCGUUGGAUUAGCUAGUUGGUAGGGUAAAAGCCUACCAAGGCGACGAUCCAUAGCUGGUCUGAGAGGAUGAUCAGCCACACUGGGACUGAGACACGGCCCAGACGCCUACGGGAGGCAGCAGUGGGGAAUAUUGGACAAGGGGCGAAAGCCUGAUCCAGCAAUGCCGCGUGAGUGAUGAAGGCCUUAGGGUUGUAAAGCUCUUUUAACCGGGAUGAUAAUGACAGUACCGGGAGAAUAAGCUCCGGCUAACUACGUG
rnacentral:rRNA from 1 species